CCCUUAGAUGUUCUGGGAUGCCCGCGCGUUACACUGAUUCGUUCAACGAGUUUGUGACCUUGCCUGAUGAGGUGGGGGAAUCUUUUCAAAUCGCAUCGUGAUGGGGAUAGAGUAUUGUAACUGUUAGUCUUCAACGAGGAAUUCCUAGUAAGUACGUGUCAUCAGCUCGUACUGAUUAUGUCCCUGCCCUUUGUACACACCGCCCGUCGCUCCUACCGAUUGAGUGCUCAGGUGAAUAGUAUGGACUGCAUCAGUGUUCGGUCUCCGAAUGUUGACGCGAGAAAUUCUGUGAAUCUUAUUGCUUAGAGGAAGGAGAAGUCGUAACA
rnacentral:rRNA from 1 species